UGCUGAUAAAACCAGCCCAUCGCAGACUCUGCAGCUGGGAGAAGAGCCCCAGGCCCGGGAAUCUCAGGUGUUCCCAUUCUCUGAUCAGGAAAGAACAGACACCUCACCAUGGAGUUUGUGCUUGGCUGGGUUUUCCUGGUUGCUCUUUUAAAAGGUGUCCAGUGUGACGUGCAGCUGGUGGAGUCUGGAGGAGACCUGGUGAAGCCUGGGGGGUCCCUGAGACUCACCUGUGUGGCCUCUGGAUUCACCUUCAGUAGCUCUUGGAUGAGCUGGGUCCGCCAGGCUCCAGGAAAGGGGCUGCAGUGGGUCGCAUAUAUUAAUACUGAUGGAAGUAGCACAAGCUACACAGACUCCGUGAAGGGCCGAUUCACCAUCUCCAGAGACAACGCCAAGAACACGCUUUAUCUGCAGAUGAACAAUCUGAAGACUGAGGACACGGCCACAUAUUACUGUGCAAGAGACACGUAAUAGAAGUUGCGGCAAGAUGGCGGCUUAGGAGGACGCUG